UUGAACGCUGGCGGCAUGCUUUACACAUGCAAGUCGAACGGCAGCGGGGGCUUCGGCCUGCCGGCGAGUGGCGAACGGGUGAGUAAUGCAUCGGAACGUACCCAGUCGUGGGGGAUAACUACGCGAAAGCGUAGCUAAUACCGCAUACGCCCUGAGGGGGAAAGCGGGGGACCUUCGGGCCUCGCGCGAUUGGAGCGGCUGAUGUCGGAUUAGCUAGUUGGUGGGGUAAAGGCCUACCAAGGCGACGAUCCGUAGCUGGUCUGAGAGGACGACCAGCCACACUGGAACUGAGACACGGUCCAGACUCCUACGGGAGGCAGCAGUGGGGAAUUUUGGACAAUGGGGGCAACCCUGAUCCAGCCAUUCCGCGUGAGUGAAGAAGGCCUUCGGGUUGUAAAGCUCUUUCGGCAGGAACGAAACGGUGGAGGCUAAUACCUUUCAUCAAUGACGGUACCUGAAGAAGAAGCACCGGCUAACUACGU
rnacentral:rRNA from 1 species